rnacentral:rRNA from 1 species
GAGAGUUCAAGAGUAACGUGAAACUGUUUAGUGGUAAACGGAGGGGUUCUCGAAGUCUGUGUUGGAGGUUCAAGCUAAUGGCUGAUGGUCAGGGCGUUUGAGUUCUGCAAAGUCUCUUUCGUUUUGUCUCUGAUGUUUUUGGCCGCAUUUCUCCAGCACUUUACGCUACGAACCGUUCUUACUGUCCCAGACAGGCUUAGUGAAAGGUAACCUCGGUUGCUGGCGCUUUGCUUUGAGGUACAGGAGGGACGGGGAUUUGAGUGGUCUCCUUAGAGUGCCUUGGCACGGGCCGCAUAUCUGUAGCGAGUAGGUCGGUGGCCCCUCCGACCCGUCUUGAAACACGGACCACAA